AAUCAUGGGCCGUAGAUGCAUCCAGGGUAUAUUGGAGAUUUAUCGGAACGUAUACCCUGGAGAUUAUCGAGGAAUGGUCACCGGAGUGUUCACGAACAUAGGCGGCACUCGCGGGUAAACGGUGGCAGCUCCAAGUGGGACGCCUAUAUGGUGUAUCCAGCUGAGCUUCGAGGGUACACUUUGGCAGCCCCAAACGGUGAUACGCUAGUCACUCACCGGUGGCAACCAAAAACGACGAUAAGCAAGCCACUACACCAUAAACCCAUUGGUACCCUGGGUAGACUAUAUUGUCAGUGGCGGGAAAUUCCCAUGACGAGUUGCGGUUUGUGUCAUUGCUUUGUACGAUCGGCGACAAGUUCAGGACCUCCUUUCACAAAACACUAAGGUGAUCAUAAUGGGGCGGUGUAGUAUUAUAU